AAGAUAAUUAGAAGUAACAUAGUAAUGAGAUGCUAAGUAGAUCUCAAAGCGAAUAAAAUGAAAGAUUGUACAUGAUGUAUGAGUAGAAUGAAAUAAAUCAAUUUAUUUCGAUAUAUGAAGGUAAUAUGCUUAAAUAGGAAGUUAGAGACAAGCCGUAAAUUUAAAAAUCAAUACGAGUAAGGAUUGUAUACUUUUGGAUUAAGUUCAAUAAAUGAAAUGCUAGGGAUGAUAUGUGCUAGAAACUAGCAAUAUGAAAUGAAGGACACUAAUAAGAGCUCUGGAACUUGAAAGGGGUAAGAGUAGAAUUGGUUUGAUUCGAAUAAGGAAGGUUUCGGGGACGAAACCUCUUUUAAGGGGGGUAGACUUGUAACACCCCAAAAACGGGUUUGGUAAUUUAAACCCGGUUAAUAUAAAGGAACGGGUAAAUACCGUUAGGGGUAAAAGUGAACCCGUAAAUGAAUAUUAACUAGGAAUAAUUAACCUAGUUGAAUAUUAGUAUCGUUGGUAUUAAACGAGGGGUUGUAGCCUUAUUUAAUUAAAACGAAACAUGGGGACCAAAGUGAACAACUUGAAAGUUGUUUUCUUAAAAUGUCUAAGUGUUUUAUAUAAUUAGAUAAGUUUAAAAGUAUCAAGAAAGUUUAUAAAACUUGGAAAAGGGUUAUUAGGUGACAACAAUAGAUAGCAUGGGGGUUGAAUGUGUAAGAUUGAUAAAUAACAUAAUAAAAUUAAAAAUCCAGUAGUUGGGUGCGUGGUGGGUAUCGCGACCAGGAGGGGGAAAGAAAGGGUGAAACCCUACUUGUUCAAUCAAGGUCAAAAUUCAGCAAAUUAAUGGUGGUUCUUGACACAAAUCGAAUGCAUGAGACUGGAUACAACUUAAUCUAAGUAUAUUGAUCAUAAGGAAUCACAUUAGCAAGGACUCGAAAACGGAAGGUUAACGGGUCAAGCAGAGGCGAGGAAACAAGCGUGAACACUAACGCUCGAGGUAAGUGACUUUCGAUUCACUUCUUAGUAUACAUAUAGAGUUUUCUUGUUAUGGUUGAAUGGGAUGAUUGAUGUAUAUAAAAUGGCCAACAAGUAGGUAUGUAUGAAUGCAUUUAGGAAAAUUACGUAAGUACAUGCACGUGUGAGCUAAGGUAUGCACGGGUGUAGUUAUGAUUCAUUUUAUGAAUGUAUGUAAGUAUGGAGUUAUGUAUGCAUGUAUGUAUAUAUGUAGGUAUUGGUGUAUGUAUGUACGUAAGUAGUUAUGUAUGAGCAUGAGCAUUAUGUAUUUGAAUAUGAAAGUACAUACGUGUGUAGGUACGAACGUAUAUAUAUAUGUGGAUGCAAGUAAGUAUGUAUGUAUGUGAGUAGGUAUGCGUGUAUGUAGUUAUGUAUGUAUGUAUGUAAAUACAUAUGCGAAGAUGUAAUCAUGUAUGUAUGUAAUUAGAUGCGUGGGUAUGCAAGUAAAGGUAUGUAUGUAUGUAGAUGUGUAUUAUGCGUAUGCGAAGAUACGUAGGUAUAUAUGAAUGUAUAUAGAGAAGUAGUAAUGCAUGCGCGAAUGUAGAUAUGGGGUUGGUAUAGAAGAAGGUACGUAUGAGUAUAUGCAGGUAUGUAGAAAUAUAGGAGGACAUGUACGUAUGUAGACGCAUAUGUAUACAUGUAAACAUGUACAUGUGCAUGAUUUAGAUACGUAGAAUUUUAACGUUACUAAUUAUGCGUUUGAGGUUGGUAUGUGAUGCAGGAACAAGUACACCGGAUUCUUACGAAACUUAAACCGAACCCGGAAUAAGAGGAUGAGAAAGAAUAAUUGGAUGAAUUAAUGUUAAAUUGACGAACAUUAUUCAAUCUUUAAUUACAUGAGAUUAAUGUUAUAUGAUGUUGCCUUUGACUAAUGGUUAAGUUGUAUGUGAUGCCCACAGGUGUUACACGGACUUCUUCUGCUGCUAUGGAAGUGAAGCGGACGUAGAUCGAGUCAAGAGCAAGGAUUGUACGGAUAGAUUGGUCACAUAGUUGAAGUAUAUAACGUUUGGAAAUCUAAAUUUUAGUAUGAAUGUUGUAAAAUUCUUUUAUAGUACGUUUAACAUUUUUAGGAUUUGGAUCCUUAGUGAAAGAAAUGUUGUCAAUACGGAAGAAAAUUUUAAAGCUCUUUUUCCGCUGCGUUAUUUUUAAGGUUAAACGUGUUAGGGUGUAACAAGUUGGUAUCAGAGCCCUGGUUUGAGAGAAUCAAGUACAAGAGGAUAGGUACUUGAACUCGAACCUGUGUGCUCUUAUGACAAGAAACCCGUACAAUCCGAGACUCGACCAAGAUCUAAAGGUAGAAGCAAAGGUAAGUAUGUGCUUAAGUAUGUAUUGGAAGAUAACUAACUAUAUGUUAUGUGUAAGGUAAGCAUGGUUGCUUGGAAAGAAUGAUUUGUGGAUGCGGUCUAGCACCGACGCCAAGGCCAUGUUCAUUUGAACAAGGCAUUAUUGAAAGGAUGCGCAUAGGCGGGUGCUCAACAAAUCAAUGGAAGCAAUCAAUGAAAGCAUUACAUGAACCCAUGAAGAAACGGGCCGACUCGGGCCACAAACCGUUGGCAUACACGACGAAGUCAAGGAAUCACAUUAGCAAGGACUCGAAAACGGAAGGUUAACGGGUCAAGCAGAGGCGAGGAAACAAGCGUGAACACUAACGCUCGAGGUAAGUGACUUUCGAUUCACUUCUUAGUAUACAUAUAGAGUUUUCUUGUUAUGGUUGAAUGGGAUGAUUGAUGUAUAUAAAAUGGCCAACAAGUAGGUAUGUAUGAAUGCAUUUAGGAAAAUUACGUAAGUACAUGCACGUGUGAGCUAAGGUAUGCACGGGUGUAGUUAUGAUUCAUUUUAUGAAUGUAUGUAAGUAUGGAGUUAUGUAUGCAUGUAUGUAUAUAUGUAGGUAUUGGUGUAUGUAUGUACGUAAGUAGUUAUGUAUGAGCAUGAGCAUUAUGUAUUUGAAUAUGAAAGUACAUACGUGUGUAGGUACGAACGUAUAUAUAUAUAUGUGGAUGCAAGUAAGUAUGUAUGUAUGUGAGUAGGUAUGCGUGUAUGUAGUUAUGUAUGUAUGUAUGUAAAUACAUAUGCGAAGAUGUAAUCAUGUAUGUAAUUAGAUGCGUGGGUAUGCAAGUAAAGGUAUGUAUGUAUGUAGAUGUGUAUUAUGCGUAUGCGAAGAUACGUAGGUAUAUAUGAAUGUAUAUAGAGAAGUAGUAAUGCAUGCGCGAAUGUAGAUAUGGGGUUGGUAUAGAAGAAGGUACGUAUGAGUAUAUGCAGGUAUGUAGAAAUAUAGGAGGACAUGUACGUAUGUAGACGCAUAUGUAUACAUGUAAACAUGUACAUGUGCAUGAUUUAGAUACGUAGAAUUUUAACGUUACUAAUUAUGCGUUUGAGGUUGGUAUGUGAUGCAGGAACAAGUACACCGGAUUCUUACGAAACUUAAACCGAACCCGGAAUAAGAGGAUGAGAAAGAAUAAUUGGAUGAAUUAAUGUUAAAUUGACGAACAUUAUUCAAUCUUUAAUUACAUGAGAUUAAUGUUAUAUGAUGUUGCCAUUGACUAAUGGUUAAGUUGUAUGUGAUGCCCACAGGUGUUACACGGACUUCUUCUGCUGCUAUGGAAGUGAAGCGGACGUAGAUCGAGUCAAGAGCAAGGAUUGUACGGAUAGAUUGGUCACAUAGUUGAAGUAUAUAACGUUUGGAAAUCUAAAUUUUAGUAUGAAUGUUGUAAAAUUCUUUUAUAGUACGUUUAACAUUUUUAGGAUUUGGAUCCUUAGUGAAAGAAAUGUUGUCAAUACGGAAGAAAAUUUUAAAGCUCUUUUUCUGCUGCGUUAUUUUUAAGGUUAAACGUGUUAGGGUGUAACAAGUUGGUAUCAGAGCCCUGGUUUGAGAGAAUCAAGUACAAGAGGAUAGGUACUUGAACUCGAACCUGUGUGCUCUUAUGACAAGAAACCCGUACAAUCCGAGACUCGACCAAGAUCUAAAGGUAGAAGCAAAGGUAAGUAUGUGCUUAAGUAUGUAUUGGAAGAUAACUAACUAUAUGUUAUGUGUAAGGUAAGCAUGGUUGCUUGGAAAGAAUGAUUUGUGGAUGCGGUCUAGCACCGACGCCAAGGCCAUGUUCAUUUGAACAAGGCAUUAUUGAAAGGAUGCGCAUAGGCGGGUGCUCAACAAAUCAAUGGAAGCAAUCAAUGAAAGCAUUACAUGAACCCAUGAAGAAACGGGCCGACUCGGGCCACAAACCGUUGGCAUACACGACGAAGUCAAGGAAUCACAUUAGCAAGGACUCGAAAACGGAAGGUUAACGGGUCAAGCAGAGGCGAGGAAACAAGCGUGAACACUAACGCUCGAGGUAAGUGACUUUCGAUUCACUUCUUAGUAUACAUAUAGAGUUUUCUUGUUAUGGUUGAAUGGGAUGAUUGAUGUAUAUAAAAUGGCCGACAAGUAGGUAUGUAUGAAUGCAUUUAGGAAAAUUACGUAAGUACAUGCACGUGUGAGCUAAGGUAUGCACGGGUGUAGUUAUGAUUCAUUUUAUGAAUGUAUGUAAGUAUGGAGUUAUGUAUGCAUGUAUGUAUAUAUGUAGGUAUUGGUGUAUGUAUGUACGUAAGUAGUUAUGUAUGAGCAUGAGCAUUAUGUAUUUGAAUAUGAAAGUACAUACGUGUGUAGGUACGAACGUAUAUAUAUAUGUGGAUGCAAGUAAGUAUGUAUGUAUGUGAGUAGGUAUGUGUGUAUGUAGUUAUGUAUGUAUGUAUGUAAAUACAUAUGCGAAGAUGUAAUCAUGUAUGUAUGUAAUUAGAUGCGUGGGUAUGCAAGUAAAGGUAUGUAUGUAUGUAGAUGUGUAUUAUGCGUAUGCGAAGAUACGUAGGUAUAUAUGAAUGUAUAUAGAGAAGUAGUAAUGCAUGCGCGAAUGUAGAUAUGGGGUUGGUAUAGAAGAAGGUACGUAUGAGUAUAUGCAGGUAUGUAGAAAUAUAGGAGGACAUGUACGUAUGUAGACGCAUAUGUAUACAUGUAAACAUGUACAUGUGCAUGAUUUAGAUACGUAGAAUUUUAACGUUACUAAUUAUGCGUUUGAGGUUGGUAUGUGAUGCAGGAACAAGUACACCGGAUUCUUACGAAACUUAAACCGAACCC